GCGAACGCUGGCGGCAGGCUUAACACAUGCCAGUCGAGCGGGCAUCCUUGUGGUGUCCGCGGCAGACGGGUGAGUAACGCGUGGGAACGUGCCCUUCGGUUCGGAAUAACUCAGGGAAACUUGAGCUAAUACCGGAUACGUGCGAGAGCAGAAAGGUUUAUCUGCCGAAGGAUCGGCCCGCGUCUGAUUAGCUAGUUGGUGAGGUUAUGGCUCACCAAGGCGACGAUCAGUAGCUGGUCUGAGAGGAUGAUCAGCCACACUGGGACUGAGACACGGCCCAGACUCCUACGGGAGGCAGCAGUGGGGAAUAUUGGACAAUGGGGGCAACCCUGAUCCAGCCAUGCCGCGUGAGUGAUGACGGCCUUAGGGUUGUAAAGCUCUUUUCUUCGGGACGAUAAUGACGGUACCGGAGGAAUAAGCCCCGGCUAACUUCGUG
rnacentral:rRNA from 1 species